rnacentral:misc_RNA from 1 species
GGAAGUAAAAGUCGUAACAAGUUUUCCGUAGGUGAACCUGCGGAAGGAUCAUUAAUGAGUUGUCAUGGGGUUCGAUGCUUGCAGCCAGUUUUUGGAUGCAUGUGCUUGCCCUAACAAUCAUCUUCUUCCAAACACCUGUGCACAUUUUUGAGGGAGUCUUGAGUUGGUUGCCGCUCUUGGGUGAUUUUCUCACAUUCCCUUAAAUCAUUAUACGCUAUUAACAAUGUUGAACGUGCUCUGUGCCGCAAGGCCAUUAAUAUAAUACAACUUUUAACAACGGAUCUCUUGGCUCUC